CUAGCAAGCGGAGUGUUAUGCAGCGCCUGGAGAAUAUAUGUGCACAUGAAGGUGAGAAUUUAACAUUUGAAAUUUAGCGUUAGGAAAUCAGCUUUUAUGGUAAACAGUACUCAAUGAAAACAGUGAACAGACAGUAUCAAUAUAGGGCCAGGAAAUACCUCGAGUAAAAGAACACAAAUACCUCAGUAUACACUAAAAAAUAAUCCACGCUUAAUCUCACGCUAAACUGUGAGUUUUAGCGUGACGCGCAUGUAAGUGAGGCGCGGACAAAGACAAUUGCACACGGUAAUAACAGGUGUACAAUAAUGAACAAGUACAAAAGGAAACAAAAGAUUAUACAAUAUUUAUACAAUACUCCCAAAAAAGAAAACAGAACCUACAUGCUAACGUGCAUAGCACCCAAAGUACUGUUCGACGCAUUGAAGAGGUCAAAAUUAUUGUUUACAUAAGCUAUAUACAUAUUCGUAUAGAGCUAUCAAUCCCUCCAAAAUAUUACACAGACGCACGCACGCACGCACGUGCACAGCACACACGCCAAAAGGAAACGGCGACGCGCUCACAGGAAGCGCCUGACAAAAAAAGAAAAAAAAGGAAAAGUGUGGGGAACCGAGGUCGUAUGCGCUGUCGCAUCUCCCUCUCCCAGAAGGAAUGAAGACGUUCUUGGAACGCAGGGACGGGCGAUUCUCUCUGUCAGCAUCAGCUCCCACCAGCGAGGACGGGGCGAGAAAGCGAAGCGGGACUUUCCUUGCUGUCUAUUUUUUCUUCGUCACGCUCAACGCCGGCUGCCCGCAGGGGCGCAGGCGAGUUCCCACCAAAUGGCGCGGGGGCGCAAGCAGUUGCGUGAGUUGCCGCCAAAUGCUAGCUCUGGAUGCCAGCUCGUUCCGCGUCUCUUGGUAGACUAGUUGGUGCAUUUCUGUUAUCAUGGACUGCGCAUAUAAACGCAAACUACACAAAAGUGACAUGGACAAAAACAGCGCAAGCCCUUUCCAUGCAGUGGAGCCGCCGUAUACAUAUAUAUAUAUCUCGCCGUUCAAAAUAUGCGUACUCGAAACACUGGAACGACACUGCUUAAGUUGAAGCACAGUGUGCGAAUGACCUGCUACGCUCGGAACUGUUACCACCAUUCGGGAAGAAAUCAGAUGAAAAAACAAAACUGUAAAUGCCUGUACGAUAUACGUCUGGUGCAUUGCAGGUAAGAAUGGAUUGUGUGUGGCACAUCUCCGCAUGUGAACUAGAGUAGAUCUAGGAACAUCAGACAAGAAGCCGCGUAUGUGAAACCCUGCGGAUAGCCCAUAUGUAAGUUGUUCCUCAAUUUUUCUGUUGUUGCAUUUUCGUAGUUUACGUGUAAUACUUUGUCACCGCGGUCUCGACGUUAUGUAUACCUAUACAUUUGUCUCGUGGCAGUCUGCGUGCUAUUUUGUUUGUGCAACUGUGUUGUAUUCAUUUAUCACGCUGCCUGGAUGUUCUUUUUUUUUUUUAAUGAUAUUCUGAGCCAAGCCAGUAAAUCUAUCCUUCCUGUCCUCAUGUUUCCUUGGGCGGCUCUAAAGUGUAUCUUAGAGGAAUAUUUAGCUUCAGAUUCCCGCAUGGAACAGAUGGUGAGUGACAUGCUGUGUUUUCUAUGUAUUCAUGUUUAUAUUUGGCUGAUUUUCAUUUUGUCAUUGAUACGAUACCGCAGCCAUAUGUCGUUCUGUCAUAGAACGUUGUUUCUAGAUAUAUUUGUUUUAUGUGGUUAAAACAUUUAAAACGAGAGCGAUCAUAUUUCUUAUCCUGACCAUUAUUUUUUACAGACCACGAUAACCACGUAUUUGGAUGUCUGGUUUAGCUCUACAUGCGCUGAUUCGUGCAGGUGAACUUUUUUUCCAGAUACGCAGGAACGGACACCGGUCAUGCCGUGCGCACUCUUCUGCAGGGCAUACUUACAAAUGAAGCUGCACUGCAGUUCAGCUGGAAAGGGUCGCAGGGGAGGAAGCACGCCUUCGUGAAGCUCCCGGCCCCCCAUCACGAAUCUCAUUCUAACAUCUGUGAGGAGCACCUUCCCAGACGCGAUCACUGGCUUCAGUGGCUGGAGUCACGAAAUGCUGGUUAGUCGGAGCAGCUGACAGGGAUGGAGGCCGGAACGAGAGAAGGCGUCGUGACCCCGCUUCAAGCCCACCAUGAACUAGCGUUUGAAACUUUUGUGAACGUGUGGGUGUACAUAUCCAAGACAAAUACAAGAAAUAAAGACCUGUAUAAGAACA